GUGCCCUGAAAGAGCAGUGAGACCUCAGCAGUUGUCACCUGCAGCACAAUCUUGGUACAAGAACAGGGGGUAAGGGCAAGGGACAGCACACAAGGAUCUGCUCUCUGCUGACCACCAUCAGUCAGGGGGUGUGCCUCCGCCUGCACAUGAACUACAGGUGCCAGGGGGAACAUUUCAUUCUAAUGCUGCAGAAACCAAAGAAAAAAAUAAAAGAUCAGUCCAUGCAGAGCAAGUCUCACAGAAGCUGUGCAUCACAGCCCUGCUCAGGUUCCUUUUGGUCAUCAGCUCUUUCUUGUCUGGACACAUGCAUUGCCUGGACCACGCCCUGAUGCAUGGAAGACAGCAGCAGAUCCCUCAGCAGGGUGGACCUGCAGUUCCAACACACACUGCCCCAGGUUCCAGCCUGGUGAUUUCUGUGGGACAGCUACCAUCAUGAUCAUAAAACUGAGCAGAUUUCUACAUGACAUUUGGGAAAAGCCAUACCUUCCUUACUGCCCUACCUCCUGAGCCGACGCCGGGCGAUUUAAAGGGCUCACUCCAUCGAAUGCAGCAGCUGCUCUCCUCUUGUGACCAGGCAGGGCAUUCCUGAAUUGUCUCCGACUGAACUGCUGCUGUCCAAAGCCUCUUCUGAAACGGUGAGGUCCUAAAUACAAAGCCCUCUUACUUUAGCAUCUUUCAAAAUUUGGUUUAUGACUACAGUUUUGUAAAUAGAUUAUAAGAUGAACUUAAUCUGAUACUACAGAAAUAGUGGUGCAAAAGUCACGCUGAUUUAUAUUAAAUAAUUAAUUUUUCCAAUAUCUCUCUAGCACUCUUACUGUAUAUAGGACUGCCAUACACUUUAUUUGAUGUGAAAGAAUACAGAAGAGAAAAGCCUUUUACAAUUCUGAUUCCUCUUAAAGACAGGAACACCCACAUCAGGAGACCUGUCAAUCUGUUGUCAGAGCUCACACUGCUAUGAAUUAACUAUGAAACAGAAAAAGCAUUUAGAUACAGAUAUACACAUGAUUUGAGCAUUCUAAAGCCAACCCCAUAGCAGCCUGAAACAGCUCUGAGGGCCCACAUCACAGUAUAAUUUUUAUUUUUGCAUAUAUAUAUAUACAUAUAUGUUUGCUUUUAGCUUGAUAUACCAUAGCUCCUCGUAUCGAAGGAGAAGUCUCCUGCUGCUCUUUUAUGAUACACACACACCCGCUGUUCGUCCUGCAUUUAACCUUCUCCCCGAAGCCUGCUGAUGAUUUUGAAGACUGCUGAAGUGUUGAGCGAGAGGAAAGCCCUGUCAGACUGAAGCACAGUGCUUCCAAAUCUAAUUACUCCACAUAAUAAAAUUCUGUAGUCGUAAUGAGACAGCAAA